UCAAGUGUGAAGACUAAAAAAAGCAUUUCUGACAUGAGGUUUUAAAUUUUUACUUCUUAAGCAAGCUUUUUUAGAAAGCUACUUAAAUAUGUUCUUCACCAAAAUCAGGACAUAAAGAGGGAGGCAUGCUUUCUAGGAAAAAGAACUCAACACUACAAACAUGCAAGUCCUAGGAUGAUUGUCAUACACCAUGCCAAAACAAGAAAUCAAGACAGAGGCUAAGAGAGAGAAAUUCUCAAUUUAAAACAAAGAAAAAUGUGCUUGAAAAGUGAGUAUACUAAAAUAGGGCCACUAAUUGAUCGAGGUUGUGGAGUCACCGGAGCUGGCAAAUCCCCCAUUAAAAAUCCAAGCUGUUCUUAUUUGCUGAAAGAGAAAAGACCACAGAAUUGAAUACCAGUGAUUUCCCGUUUUCUUAACUCUACUGAAAAGUCAUAAAACUGCAUUAGCAAUAAUUACAACUACAGUUGACCCUUGAACAACAUGGGAUUAAACUGUGUGGGUCCACUUACAUGCAGAUUUUCUUCCACUUCUGCCACCCUGAGGCAGCAAGUCAGCUCCUCUGCUCCCUCCUUCUCCUCAGCCUACUCUCCACAAAGAUGAUAAAGAAGACCUUUAUAUGAUCCACUUCCACUUAAUUAAUGCUGCUCCAUGAAGCCAGAAUUUGGACAUAUGGAAGGUCUUGCAUUUUUCACCAAAGAAAAAGCACUGGUAAAUGAGGUUUGUUCAGAAUUCAUCAGGAAACCUAUUACAAUUGCAGCAGCCCUGGAAACGCCUGCAUUACAAUGAACAAGAACCACUCCAUCCUACAAAGGCAUAAAGGAAGGACAGAGAAGCCAAAUAGAGUGUAUCCAAAUCAUGAGCAGCAUCUUGUGACCCUAGAAGAAAUAAAUGAUACCACCUUGAACACAAAUAUAAUCAUCUUGAACUUUUAUAUAAAUUUCUACAGCAAUUCUGUUAUUAAAAAAAAAAGACCAACA
rnacentral:lncRNA from 1 species